UACGUAGGGGGCUAGCGUUGUCCGGAAUCAUUGGGCGUAAAGCGCGUGUAGGCGGUUCGGUAAGUCCGCUGUGAAAGUCGGGGGCUCAACCCUCGGAAGCCGGUGGAUACUGUCGAGCUAGAGUACGGAAGAGGCGAGUGGAAUUCCUGGUGUAGCGGUGAAAUGCGCAGAUAUCAGGAGGAACACCGGUGGCGAAGGCGGGUCUCUGGGCCGAUACUGACGCUGAGGAGCGAAAGCGUGGGGAGCGAACAGG
rnacentral:rRNA from 1 species